rnacentral:lncRNA from 1 species
ACCCGAAAUUACAUUAUUUUCAUAAAGUCUGGAACAUAAACGUAAAUAUUUGAAUGCGUUGCGCUCCGAACUGGGUUCUGGCCUUAACAUGAAAGUUGUAGCUCUUUCUCUUGUCUUUCCAACGCAUAUUCGCACACCUCAAUCCGAUACUCGUAGCUCAAGUUAUGACCUGCAGACUGAGAAGGAACAAUAUGUCAUUAAAUACGAAAAUUGGUCAAAUAAAUUCAUUAAGGCUCAAUUGUGACCCAAAACUUAGAAACAUAAUAAAAACUCGAUAUUAUUGUAGAAAGACUACUAAUAUGCUAAAUUAUAAUACUAGAAAAUAUGUGCCAAAAUGCACUGAUCAAAUUCCCCCACACUUAUUCUUUUGCUCUCCUGAGCAAAACUCAAGAACAAAGC